rnacentral:rRNA from 1 species
AGUGAACGCUGGCGGCAUGCCUAACACAUGCAAGUCGGACGGGAACUGAUGUUUCCCGUGGCGGUCGGGUGAGCGACGCGCAAAAAGCUGACCUUGGGAGGGGAACAACAGCUGGAGAGGGCUGCUAAUACGCCGUAGGCUGAGUAGUACCGGGUGCAAGCUGCGCGAGGAGGGGCUGGCGUCUGAUUAGCUAGUUGGUGAGGCAAUAGCUUACCAAGGCGAUGAUCAGUAGAUGUUACGAGAGGAUGAUCAUCCACACUGGGACUGGGGCACGGAGCAGACACCUACGGAAGGCAGCAGUGGGGAAUUUGCCGCAAUGGGCGAAAGCCGAACAGGGCAUUGCCGUGUUAAAGUAGAUGUCCCACGAAUGAAAAACUGCUUGUCCCUGAGAAGAUGCAAUGACGGUACCUAAAGAAUAAGCAUCGGCUAACUCCGUG